UACGGGGGGGGCAAGCGGUUGUUCGGAAUUACUGGGCGUAAAGGGCUCGUAGGUGGCCAACUAAGUCAGACGUGAAAUCCCUCGGCUUAACCGGGGAACUGCGUCUGAUACUGGAUGGCUUGAGGUUGGGAGAGGGAUGCGGAAUUCCAGGUGUAGCGGUGAAAUGCGUAGAUAUCUGGAGGAACACCGGUGGCGAAGGCGGCAUCCUGGACCAAUUCUGACGCUGAGGAGCGAAAGCCAGGGGAGCAAACGGG
rnacentral:rRNA from 1 species